UACAGAGGUCCCAAGCGUUGUUCGGAUUCAUUGGGCGUAAAGGGUGCGUAGGCGGCGCGGUAAGUCGGGUGUGAAAUCUCGGGGCUUAACUCCGAAACUGCAUUCGAUACUGCCGUGCUUGAGGACUGGAGAGGAGACGUGGAAUUUACGGUGUAGCGGUGAAAUGCGUAGAUAUCGAGAGGAACACCUGCGGCGAAGGCGGGUUGCUGGGCUGACACUGACGCUGAUGCGCGAAAGCCAGGGGAGCGAACGGG
rnacentral:rRNA from 1 species